rnacentral:rRNA from 1 species
AGUGAACGCUGGCGGUAGACCUAACACAUGCAAGUCGAACGGCAGCACAGUAAGAGCUUGCUCUUACGGGUGGCGAGUGGCGGACGGGUGAGGAAUACAUCGGAAUCUACUUUUUCGUAGGGGAUAACGUAGGGAAACUUACGCUAAUACCGCAUACGACCUACGGGUGAAAGCAGGGGAUCUUCGGACCUUGCGCGAUUGAAUGAGCCGAUGUCGGAUUAGCUAGUUGGCGGGGUAAAGGCCCACCAAGGCGACGAUCCGUAGCUGGUCUGAGAGGAUGAUCAGCCACACUGGAACUGAGACACGGUCCAGACUCCUACGGGAGGCAGCAGUGGGGAAUAUUGGACAAUGGGCGCAAGCCUGAUCCAGCCAUACCGCGUGGGUGAAGAAGGCCUUCGGGUUGUAAAGCCCUUUUGUUGGGAAAGAAAAGCAGCAGGUUAAUACCCCGCUGUUCUGACGGUACCCAAAGAAUAAGCACCGGCUAACUUCGUG